rnacentral:rRNA from 2 species
GCCCAUUAAAGCGGUACGCGAGCUGGGUUCAGAACGUCGUGAGACAGUUCGGUCCCUAUCCGGCGCGGGCGCAGGAUAUCUGAGAGGAGCUGUCCUUAGUACGAGAGGACCGGGAUGGACAGACCGCUGGUGUACCUGUUGGCCUACCAAGGCCAUGGCAGGGUAGCCAAGUCUGGACGGGAUAAACGCUGAAGGCAUCUAAGCGUGAAGCCCCCCUCAAGAUGAGAUAUCCCAUCGCGAAAGCGAGUAAGACCCCUUGAAGACGACGAGGUAGAUAGGUUAGAGGUGGAAGUGCAGUAAUGUACGUAGCUGACUAAUACUAAUCGGUCGAGGGCUUAUCCA